AAGCCAAUGCAUGCUUUUACAGUAUGGAAAUUGGUGAUUUAUAAUAACUUGGCAAAUCGCAAAGUGAAAACAGGCGAUAAAUCAUUCAAGUUUCUGACCUAUCAGCUUUCGACGGUAUGGUAUUGGCUUACCGUGGCAGUGACGGUUAACGGGGGAUUAGGGUUCGAUUCCGGAGAGGGAGCCUGAGAAACGGCUACCACAUCUAAGGAAGGCAGCAGGCGCGCAAAUUACCCAAUUCUAACAGUUUGAGAGAGGUAGUAACAAGAAAUAACAAUACAAGGCAAUUAAAAUGCUUUGUAAUUGGAAUGAUAGAAAUUUAAACCCUUUUUAAAGUAUCAAUUGGAGGGCAAGUCUGGUGCCAGCAGCCGCGGUAAUUCCAGCUCCAAUAGCGUAUAUUAAAAUUGUUGCAGUUAAAAAGCUCGUAGUUGAAGUUCUGCUAAAAGUAACCGGUCUGCUUUUAAUAAAAGUGGUAUCUUGGUGUGUAUUUAGCAAUGAUGUCCUUUGAAGUGUUUUUUACUUUAUUGUAAUAAAGCAUAUUCAGGACUUUUACUUUGAGAAAAUUAGAGUGUUUCUAGCAGGCCGACGCUUUGAAUA
rnacentral:rRNA from 1 species